CGGGACUGACGGGGCUCGAACCCGCAGCUUCCGCC
rnacentral:tRNA from 2 species